GAUGAACGCUGGCGGCGUGCUUAACACAUGCAAGUCGAACGGGAAACCUUUUAUUGAAGCUUCGGCAGAUUUAGAUUGUUUCUAGUGGCGGACGGGUGAGUAACGCGUGGGUAACCUGCCUUAUACAGGGGGAUAACAGUCAGAAAUGACUGCUAAUACCGCAUAAGCGCACAGGACCGCAUGGUCCGGUGUGAAAAACUCCGGUGGUAUAAGAUGGACCCGCGUUGGAUUAGCUAGUUGGUGAGGUAACGGCCCACCAAGGCGACGAUCCAUAGCCGGCCUGAGAGGGUGAACGGCCACAUUGGGACUGAGGCACGGCCCAGACUCCUACGGGAGGCAGCAGUGGGGAAUAUUGCACAAUGGGGGAAACCCUGAUGCAGCGACGCCGCGUGAAGGAAGAAGUAUCUCGGUAUGUAAACUUCUAUCAGCAGGGAAGAAAAUGACGGUACCUGACUAAGAAGCCCCGGCU
rnacentral:rRNA from 1 species